AUGAAGAACUUGCUACACUACAAGUUGAAACUUCGCUAUGACCAGGUGACUACGAAGAGGAUUGAGAAAGAAAAUAGUAGUACAAACUUGCAAAAUACUCUUUUACAGAGAUCUAGUCCUAAUAAUACUCAAGGUGGAAGGCUAAUUGUUAUUUCUCCAAAUGCACUCAUACAAGCUACAACAAAGAAUUCUCAAAUGUUUGAAGCAAUGUUACAUGCUUGUUGA
rnacentral:rRNA from 1 species